GAAAUCUCGGUCUUAUCUACGAUUAAAUGAAGUAAUCUAUUGAAUAAUAAACCUAAUUAAAUUUAUAAUCUAAUUUCUCAACAUGAACAUGCCACGUAUGUGUGGGAAGGCCAUUAUAGGACGAUACUGUGCAAUAUAUAUAAGGCUCCAAUGCUGCAGUAGAAAUGCCCCGCAUCGCCCCUUUUGCCUGCAAAGUUCAUGAUCUUCUCCCCGUUUGACGAGCUCCCACAGGCAGAUAUCGUGCUCGAGGAGCUUGCUGACAGCUCGAAUAAAGGUGGGGUGAGGCAACCUUGCGGCGCAAGCUUAAUUCUGAAGAUGAUCAAUAUGUCGGGCUCUUUGGAUUCUGCCUUAGAAGUGAAGGAAGCAGAGGAGGUUGAUAUCACAAAGGCUACCGUUGUUCGUAUACUUUGUGUUCCUCGGAAAGUAUGAGACAAUCCGGAAUUUGUCCUUAGAGAGUUGCACUUCCCCUUCGCAGGAGUUGCUAAAACCGCUUAAAGGUGUAUUCCCCGGGUUCAAAGACACGCUAACUUGGGAAAGACCCCGGACUACUCUCACCGCGCUCCUCGCAUUGGUUCUGAUUAUCUACGAGUAAUUGCAUUGCAGGAUCUGUUUCUACACCGAUAUUUCCAUUUAAGAUCGAACACUUUUAUCGGUUCACCACUCUCUAAAGAUGUAUUCAUAAAAUUUGAACAGCAAUAAUUGAGUAGGUGAACAAGGAAGUGGCGGCCUUUUUUGCUGUGGCUGGCUGUGAAGAUGCUUGAGGCAAGUGAAAGGACGAGCCAGCACCCGCGAGAUGAGAUUGUGGUCCGUACAGUUUCCCCGCAGAAAGGGCCACAGACCGUCCUCAAGGUGGUUCAGACAGCGAACAUCGUUCUACUGAAGCUGUGGUCGAUAUUCUCGUCGAGGGCCCCGAAGUCUCCGAAAACACUGUCUCAGCGGAUCAAAUGGAACCUAGGUUCAGAAUGAGAUUGCAUCGAGUAGCGAUUCCCCUUUAGAUGCCGAUUUUUCGAUCCUUAAAGGAGACGGGAAUUCUUGUCUUGUGGAUCAGCAUGCAGACACGGUGACUAUGGCGAUGAGCGUGACAGCUAUUCCACUGACAGUAAGUCCCCUUAAAUUCAUCCUCAUCGCUGUGACUGUAUCCUGUUUCGCGAUGAAGUCGAGUACCGGUGAGGGGCUCAAAGAAUGGCGGCAUGCGAUACCAGUUGUUGUUCCAGUCCGAUUGGUGGAUAAGGCCGAGAUAUGUCCAAAGACAUCUGCCAGUGAGCACAUCGGUGAUGUGAAUGCUCCGCCCCCGUAAGGCCGAAAACUGUCCCGAGUCUCUUCUGGCUUGGAAAGGCACAUUUCACUUCUUUUCAGCUCGGAUUUUCUCCAGCAUGUUAUUGAUAAUAUAUGAUGCUUACUUGUUGUGCGUGUGCGUGUGUUUUUUUUUGGCUCUAUAGUCUAUCUGUAUACCGAUAUAUCAAUACCAGAUGUAUCAGUGUGACGAUAUCGCGGUUCUCCUUCUGUUUGAUCGACGAACAAGAAAUUGAAACUUGCAACGACAUCAAUCUAGUAGAUAUGAUAAUCAUCAAUCGAGUCCUUUCAUAUUGUUAACCAUAAUAUGAUGAUACUAAUUACAGAUGACAAAUAAAUAAAUAAAUUAUUUUUAUUACUUAAGAAGAAAAGAUGGUACCGUAGCAUAGUUUUUCUAUAAUUAUCACCAUUUUGACAAAGACGAAAAAAAAAAACUCAACCCAGAAUUUUUUUUAAAAAAAUAAUGCGGAAUGAACAUGGGGAAAAUUGAU